GGGGCAUUAACGGUUUCGACAGGGUGGUGAAAUCUGCUUUGUGAUGCAGGCCGAGAGUGAGUCUUCUCUCGAAAAUCCUGGACUCAAAAAAUAAUAAGUGCAAACAACAUUGUACCUUUUGCUCGUAAGCAAGUAGCUGCUCUAGCUUAAUUGCAAAAACACCUCUUAUAGGUUCGAGCGUCUGUGGUUUGACUCCGUUAAUAAUUGCAGACUUAACCCCAACGGAUGCUCUAGCAAUUUUUCUCUGGUUACCUGCUAGUUAAGAUUUAACCAGAGCAUCCCACUAUCCGGGAUAAUGGAUAGUCCCAGCUCUGAGGGUUAAGAAGGGCUAAACCUGUGAAUGAGUGAAGGGUGAAUAGCCAUUUUGGACAUGGGUUCGACUCCCAUAUGCUCCAUAC
rnacentral:tmRNA from 20 species